rnacentral:siRNA from 1 species
UCUCAAGAAGGUGCAUGAACAA